GGGUGAGCAAGAGUCCAACCAAGUUGUGAAUUGGAAUCGGAACGCUGCGCUCCUCUCCUCGCCGCCCCCACCCCCCCGCCCGCCACUGCCUGGAAGUUGUGGCGGGGGGAGCUAAGGAAAAGUGCCAGACAGGAGCUGGAUUAGGACCCACACGAUGGAAAAACCCCAUUGCGGGAGCUUCCCGAAUUGCGGGAGCUAUUUUUCUGAUGAUCGGAAUAAGCAGGUUGGUUGCCCGACGACCCGCAGUCUCUUUCAGUCUGUCAGAUUCCCAAAGUAGAGGAUCUUUGAAAUAAUUCAACAUUACAAAUAAAAAAUGACAAGCAGAAAGUCAAAAUGAAAUAAAGAGCCAGCAUUAAAUCAAGACAGUUGGCCAGACCCUGAAAGCUUCAUGCAGGUAAUUUUCAAUUCAGAUAGACUACAACGGUCCACAGAUGAGGAGCAGCAUUGACAAGUACACCAAAGUUAGUGUCAGGGCAGAGCGUGAAAUGUACAUCAUCAUCUUCUUGAAGGGUGGAUUGGAUGCCAAGCAUAUUGUUACAGUUGCUUAAGAACGGCAUCCUGGACUUCAUGGAAAGGGAAUGACGAUAAUAGCUCCAGCUAAACUCAAGAAUGCCCUUGCAAGUUCUUCUGCAAAAAAUGUCUGACUUGGCCCCAACUAAGGUAUGUUCACACAGGCACAAAGCAUCGAAGUAGCCAUCAUUGCUGCUGGACUGGGGUUGUUUCCCUUCAUAAGAAUGUAAGAAGAGCCCUGAUGAUUGAGACAAAAGGUUCACGGAGUCUAGCAUCUCUUUCCCACCAUGGCAGCCCUUCCAUGAGGCAAGGUAAGGCAGUUGUGCCUCAAGCAGUUAAUUAUUGCCACUCCCCCCCAAAAAAGAGACUCUAGAACGACUAGUUUGGGGAAGCAAAGAUUAGGGGAGUGAGGAUCUUACUAAACAUGACAUAUGUCUAGAGGUAAGUUUCUUUGCCUUAUGAAAGAACCUUGACAGACAUUUUCAAAUUUAAUUCAGAAAAUGGGCCAGAUUCUUCUUUUUGUCUUUCCGGAUUCGGCCAAACCUUCUAGUCUGCUUUCCAGGCUAGUUUUUUCUUUCUGUCCAAGCCCGUGCGGCAGGAAACCUGAAAGCGCUAUACAAAUGUGAAGUAUUAUUAUGAUCAUGUAGGAAGGAGGUCUGUCACUUAGAGAAUUCCAUUCAUUCAUUCAUUCACUCACUCUGUUCAUUUGUUGGUUUGUUUUAAAUGUAUAUACUGCCCAUCCCAGAAUGGCUCAGGGCAGUUCACAUAAUAUCAAGUAGUGUUCUAGCUUUUGCCAUGCAAACUGUGGCAUCUAAAGGAAAUUCACAGAGUCAGAAAACCCCAGGAGCUAGAACAGUUUGAAGACAUAAUUAUUUUCUUGUUAACAAUUUCUGAGCAUGAUGAUACAAAUCUGAUUAAGAAUUUGUGUUUCAACAGACCAUGCACCUCUAAAAUAAGCAGGAUCAAAAUGUGAGCUCCCAGACUUUUCAAAUGUUGAGGUUUGGAGGUGUGGCUUUCAUCAGCCUCCGGAAAGCAGUUUGUUUUAACCCAAACAUAGUGGUGAGUCAGCUCUGAACUGAUUCUAUUUCUCUGUCAGCCUCAUGUGCUGACAAUCAAAAAGGCUUCCUAGAUUCCACAUGCAUGCCAUUAUGAUCAAAUGGAAUCUUUCCCAUGGGGAUUUUAUGAUCCAUGGUCAGGUGGGUGCUCCAGGAAAUUCUUGUUCAGCAUUCUUGUGUGCUGUCUCCAUAUGUCAGCCUCUUGGGGGACUUCCCAGCUGCUGCUAACUUUUAAAAAUAUGGCACCAUGUAAGCGCUUGGAUAUUUUAUGCAAGACUUUUUGAAAUUUGGUGGUUAUGUCUCACAACUGCAGUAAUGCUGCAGACAGACUUACUCUGAAGUGUUUCUCAUUGGUGUGACUCUUGAGAUCAUUUACUUUUCGUGUUUCCAGACAGCAAUAAAAAUGCUUUCCCAAGCAUUUUCAAGCAUGCUUUUACUUGUUUUCCCCACACACCAGCUUCUGUUGUCCGAGACUGCAUCAAUUGACA